rnacentral:rRNA from 1 species
CAGUCGCCGCGGUAAUACGGAGGGUGCAAGCGUUAAUCGGAAUUACUGGGCGUAAAGCGCACGCAGGCGGUCUGACAAGUCAGAUGUGAAAUCCCCGGGCUUAACCUGGGAACUGCAUUUGAAACUGUCAGGCUGGAGUCUUGUAGAGGGGGGUGGAAUUCCAGGUGUAGCGGUGAAAUGCGUAGAGAUCUGGAGGAAUACCGGUGGCGAAGGCGGCCCCCUGGACAAAGACUGACGCUCAGGUGCGAAAGCGUGGGGAGCAAACAGGAUUAGAGACCCGAGUAGUCCCUGUCUCUUAUAC